rnacentral:rRNA from 1 species
UACGGAGGAUCCAAGCGUUAUCCGGAAUCAUUGGGUUUAAAGGGUCCGUAGGCGGUUUUGUAAGUCAGUGGUGAAAGCCCAUCGCUCAACGGUGGAACGGCCAUUGAUACUGCAAGGCUUGAAUUACUAGGAAGUAACUAGAAUAUGUAGUGUAGCGGUGAAAUGCUUAGAUAUUACAUGGAAUACCAAUUGCGAAGGCAGGUUACUACUAGUGGAUUGACGCUGAUGGACGAAAGCGUGGGGAGCGAACAGG